CCGAAUAGGGGAGCCGGAGGGAAACCGAGUCUUAAUUGGGCGUUAAGUUGCAGGGUAUAGACCCGAAACCCGGUGAUCUAGCCAUGGGCAGGUUGAAGGUUGGGUAACACUAACUGGAGGACCGAACCGACUAAUGUUGAAAAAUUAGCGGAUGACCUGUGGCUGGGGGUGAAAGGCCAAUCAAACCGGGAGAUAGCUGGUUCUCCCCGAAAGCUAUUUAGGUAGCGCCUCGUGAAUUCAUCUCCGGGGGUAGAGCACUGUUUCGGCUAGGGGGCCAUCCCGGCUUACCAACCCGAUGCAAACUGCGAAUACCGGAGAAUGUUAUCACGGGAGACACACGGCGGGUGCUAACGUCCGUCGUGAAGAGGGAAACAACCCAGACCGCCAGCUAAGGUCCCAAAGUCAUGGUUAAGUGGGAAACGAUGUGGGAAGGCCCAGACAGCCAGGAUGUUGGCUUAGAAGCAGCCAUCAUUUAAAGAAAGCGUAAUAGCUCACUGGUCGAGUCGGCCUGCGCGGAAGAUGUAACGGGGCUAAACCAUGCACCGAAGCUGCGGCAGCGACGCUGAUGCGUUGUUGGGUAGGGGAGCGUUCUGUAAGCCUGCGAAGGUGGCCUGUGAGGGUUGCUGGAGGUAUCAGAAGUGCGAAUGCUGACAUAAGUAACGAUAAAGCGGGUGAAAAGCCCGCUCGCCGGAAGACCAAGGGUUCCUGUCCAACGUUAAUCGGGGCAGGGUGAGUCGACCCCUAAGGCGAGGCCGAAAGGCGUAGUCGAUGGGAAACGGGUUAAUAUUCCCGUACUUGGUGUUACUGCGAAGGGGGGACGGAGAAGGCUAUGUUGGCCGGGCGACGGUU
rnacentral:rRNA from 1 species